rnacentral:rRNA from 1 species
CCGGGGCAUCCCGGAGGCAGGAAAGGCUUCGGCCGGACAGGGAUGGGCAUGCGGCGCAUUAGGCAGUAGGCGGGGUAACGGCCCACCUAACCGACGAUGCGUAGGGGUUCUGAGAGGAAGGUCCCCCACACUGGUACUGAGGCACGGACCAGACUCCUACGGGAGGCAGCAGUGAGGAAUAUUGGUCAAUGGUCGGGAGACUGAACCAGCCAAGCCGCGUGAGGGAUGAAGGUACAGAGUAUCGUAAACCUCUUUUGUCAGGGAACAAAGGCGGGGACGUGUCCCCGGAUGAGUGUACCUGAAGAAAAAGCAUCGGCUAACUCCGUGCCAGCAGCCGCGGUAAUACGGAGGAUGCGAGCGUUAUCCGGAUUUAUUGGGUUUAAAGGGUGCGCAGGCGGUCUGUUAAGUCAGCGGUCAAAGCCCGGGGCUCAACCCCGGUCCGCCGUUGAAACUGGCAGUCUCGAGUUGGAGAGAAGUAUGCGGAAUGCGCGGUGUAGCGGUGAAAUGCAUAGAUAUCGCGCAGAACUCCGAUUGCGAAGGCAGCAUGCCGGCUCCACACUGACGCUGAGGCACGAAAGCGUGGGUAUCGAACAGGAUUAGAUACCCUGGUAGUCCACGCAGUAAACGAUGAAUGCAGGCUGUCCGGG